AAAUAAGCCAGGAGGGGAUUCAAGUGUGGUUAAUACUUCCUAGGAAGCAGAAGUCUUGGGGAAUCUAGUUUGUACUCUUGUAUUGUGCCUCAAGGCAGGUUAAGUGAGCCCAUGUGAACUGAAUGCAUUUUAAGGAGAGGUUGGGAAGGGAAUGAGGGGCAGCCUUUCUGUGUGUCUCCCAGGCCUAAAUGUGCAUAUGUGAAGCAUUUGUCAUCAUUUUGAUUGGGUCUGGUCUUGAACAGGCAUCAGUCCGGAAGUGAAUGAACUGUUGAUGGAAGCCCAGUUGCUCCAGGUAUCCCUUCCUGAAAUUCAGGAACUUUACCAGACUCUCCUUGCAAAGCCAAGCCCUGUUCAGCAAACUGACCGAAGCUCACCAGUUAGACCCAGCAGUGAGAAGAGUGACUGCUGCCGGGAAAGCGAGAUGGAAUCAACAGUCUUGAGAGGAAACUGAAGAGACGCCUGGACAGAGAAGGCCUCUCCAAUGAGCGGUGGGAUCGAGUCAAGAAAAUGCGGACCCCAAAAAGAAGAAAAUAAAACUGAGCCUCCCCAAGGACAUAAACAAUUUCAAGUUAGAGAGGGAGCGUAGCUAUGAGUUAGUCCGCUCUGCUGAAACUCAUUCCCUGCCCUCAGACACAUCCUAUUCUGAGCAGGAGGACUCUGAGGAUGAAGAUGCCAUCUGUCCAGCUGUGAGCUGCCUGCAGCCAGAAGGAGAUGAGGUGGACUGGGUCCAGUGUGAUGGCAGCUGCAAUCAGUGGUUUCAUCAGGUCUGUGUUGGUGUUUCUCCAGAGAUGGCAGAGAAAGAAGACUACAUCUGUGUGCGCUGUACUGGGAAGGACGCACCAAGCCGAAAGUAAAAACAAAACAAACACCCCCACUUAAUGUAAUUCAAGACUCCAACCAAGAUGAUUUUCUCAAAUCUCAGCAAAGCUACAGGACUGGUGUCCAAGCCAGCCUGUACAUGGUGCUAUUUCUAUUCCUUAUGGGAUCAUUUUUCCAGAACUCUUUGAAAAAAAAGAAAAAAACAAUGAAAAAAAUUUUUGACACUUUUUGUAUUUUUUUCCUUAAGAGCUGUUUGUGGUUGUUGAGGUUUGAAAUGCUGACUGUUUUUUGCAGGGGUUUCCACCAACUUGAAGGCAUUGAAGCUUGCACCUUUUCAUGUACAGCAUUAAAAUUGUACCUCUGUCUGGGAUUUACCGUUCAACUCAGUUCCGUGCCCAGAAGGGGCACCAGAAGUUCCAGUAAAUCCUCAAUUGAGGAAUCUUUCCCUUGUUUACUCUGUUACCAUAUUGGGGAAUUUUAAGUUUUUCACUUUUGGGGUUUUUGUUUGUUUCUUUAUCUACUUUUCUUUUUUUCUGGUAGACUAGGUUUAUUUAUCUGAGCAAUAACUUCUAUGUUGGUUUCAGUGGCUGGAAUUAAAACAAAACAAAACAAACUUCUGAACAGUGUGUUGGUGCUUUAGCAAUUGGUUGAUGUACAGAACGUAGGUGUCUAGUUUCUAGUGUCACUGAUGAACUAGUGAUGUAGAAAAGAGACUGCUCUGUAAGUAAUUGCCACAGCUGUAUUUUGGCUUCCUCCCUGCCCAUUCCUUCCUCCCCUCUUUUUGGUAGCUUGUAUCAAAUGUUGCAGUUUAUAUUGUGGAAUAAAUCCUUGGUCCUAAUAUAACACUAAAUGCUGGUUAUUUAGAACCAUUAGAUUAUAGCUUCUUCUGCCCCUCCACCUUGUGGGCUUGCAGAACCAGAAGAGCUUGCUUGCUUUGGCUUCUGUCUACCCAACCUGCAAUAGCAGUGAACGUCAGGCUGCAGACAACAUGAGGGGAGUCUCGUUCUGUAGCCUGCCCUUUUUGGUGGCCCAUAUGACUCUAGGCCCUAUUAGUAAAGAACCUCUCAGUUUUUGAAGACUAUAACCUGCCCCAAAGCGAUUCUCUUCCUAAAUAGGCUCUCUGAGAAGGUUGGUGAAUCACUCCAUUGCUCAGAUUAGACCUUCUUAUGGAAAUGACACCUUUACUAUAUUUUACUUGACAGGGAAAGUUGGUUUAGGGUUAAGAGGUUGGAAGAAAAUCAAAGGAAGAUUCAUCUUCAUGGAGAGUCAGGUUUAGCAUGAGUCAAGGGAAAACUUUUAAACACCCAAGCUCUGCUUUUCUGGUCUCCUUUCCUGUCUGUCUCUAACUUUCUGGAUCGUCACUGGUUGUGGAUAGCUCAUAGCCAUUUUCCUUCCUUUUCUUUUUAAUGGGAUCAGUUCUGCAGUGGAGAGGGCAUCCUGGUGAACAGAACACUCUUUUUCCUGUUCUGUUGCUGAUGUUUGUUUUCCUCACAUCCUAUAGCCAUAAACCCGAAGGUGGGUCGAACAAGUGGGUCUUGAAUGAAACACCACCAACAGAAACCAGUUUGUGCUGUAGCAUAGAUUUAAAUGUACUGUCCGCUUUUAUGGAAUUCAAAUAAUUAAAUCUCUUUAAGAAUGACUCCUAGUUGUCUGCAGUUUUCCUGCAGUUGCUGUGAUGUCUUGUCCUUGUCUGAUCAAG
rnacentral:lncRNA from 1 species